rnacentral:piRNA from 1 species
UGACUCGUGCUGCUUUCUUUAUCUUACUGA